rnacentral:rRNA from 1 species
AAUGAACGCUGGCGGCAUGCCUUACACAUGCAAGUCGAACGGCAGCAUGACCUAGCUUGCUAGGUUGAUGGCGAGUGGCGAACGGGUGAGUAAUGCAUCGGAACGUGCCUUUUUGUGGGGGAUAACGUAGCGAAAGUUACGCUAAUACCGCAUAUUCUCUGAUGAGGAAAGCAGGUGACCUUCUGGCCGUGGGCUAGAAGGGAGGCCGGUGUCGGAUUAGCUAGUUGGUGAGGUAAAGGGUCACCAAGGCAACGAUCCGUAGCGGGUCUGAGAGGAUGAUCGGCCACACGAGGACGUAGACACGGCCCAGAGUCCUACGGGAGGCCGCAGUGGGGAAUUUUGGACAGUGGGCGCAAGCCUGAUCCAGCCAUGCCGCGUGAGUGAAGAAGGCCUUCGGGUUGUAAAGCUCUUUCGGCUGGGAAGAAAUGGCACCCUCUAAUACAGAGUGUGGAUGACGGUACCAGCAUAAGAAGCACCGGCUAACUACGUG